rnacentral:lncRNA from 1 species
UCUUAUUAUCUUCAGUUUUAAGAUUUCUAUUUGGCAUUUCUUUGUAUUUUUUAUGCUUUUCCUGAGCCUUCAUCUUUCAAGAGGAUUACCCCUUAUUGUUGCACCAUUUUUAUAAUUAGCACUUAAAAGUAAUUUUCAGGAGUUUUCUGGUGGCUCAGCAGGUUAAGGAUCUAAGGAUCCAGUUUUGUCACUGCUGUGGCUCUGAGAUGCAUUGUGGGGAAGCACCAAUCAUGCCUGUGUUGUUGUUGACUCCUCUGUUGUUGUUGGGGUUAAAACAACAUGACGAAAUGCCAGAGCUCUGGAUAGUACUGUGGCGAGUUCAGCACUUCCACAUGUCAUGGGAACGUCUGCAUGCCAUGGGAUGGCCAAAAAAAAGUACUUCAGAAAAUUCUAACACUUGAGCCAUUUCAUCUAUAUUGAUUGUCCUUUCCCAUAUGAGUUUGGAUUUUCCUCUUUGUAUGUUAACUAAUCUUAGAUCAUACCCUUUGAGUUACAUGCUCUCUCACUGAAAUCUCUCCCUGCACAAUCUAUUCCUUGAGUGCCUCCCUUUUUCAGCACUCCUACCAAAAAAUUGGGACCUUAUUUAUACCACUUUGCACAUUUCCCAUGACUGUACCUGUGUCCAAAGCUAAGCAGAAACCAAAAAAAAGCAACAGUGCUCACCCCACUUCUUAUAGCUAAGCAACUCUUAUCAAAGAGGAUGUUCGCUUCUCUCAAAAUUUUAGGCUUCUUUGGGUCCCCACUGUCCAUAUCACUACUGCCUGAUUACUUGGGAAUUAAAGCACAAGAGAUGGAGGGGAAAAAGGGGAGAUACUUUCACACUCUGAACAUUAGGAAACUCCUUUUCUGCUCCUCUGAUCAAAACUAGGGAGUUUUCUUGGAGCUCUGUCAACUUCAAUGCCCAUUUCUAGAUUUUUGGUCUGUACUAAAUCCAGGUUAGAACAUACCAGAGUGUGACAUCAUUCACCGCCAGUUAGGUAGUAUAUGAGACUCAGAUCUUAUUCAUUAAUCUACCUCUAAUAUUUACUUGAAUUCUCAAAUAGCUGUUCUAUGCAUCUGCCCAGGUUUUAUAGCUUCAUUCAGAGAGAGAAACAAGGUGGAACAUUCUUGCUCCAUUUUAUUCAUAACCAGAACCCUACUGAUAACUUUUUACAUAUGAACAAGAUUUUUAUGAACAAUAAAAAUCUAUACUAAAUAAGAGCUUAUUAAUAUUUUUAUAAGCUUCUAAGAGAAAAUAAAACAUAACAUUGUAGUUUAAUUGGCAGAAUUUUUCUUAAGUGUUAUAAAAAUACUGCUUCUAAUAAGCAACAGUACCUUACAAUCAACAAAACUUGGUAGAAAAGAAGUGCCUGGACACACACCUCCCUAGUCACAUAACAAGACUAGUUGUGGUUAACAGCUGCUAAUCUAACUGAAUGACAACACUGUGCAUCUUAUACCAAAAGAGCAGAGUCAUCUAAACCUUUAAAUUUCAAAAGCCAAGUCAAACUGUCUUAUUUGCAUACUUAAUCGGGCAAAGAGUUAAGAACAGUCUCCAAGAGAACCCUCAAUCAGACUUACAGACUUCAAAAUUAACAUAAAAACCUGAGCUGAUUUACCAAGUCACAAUGUACUAAAGACGACACUUUCAAUGACAAAAGCAAUUAAGCAGUUAUUGAAGCCCAUAAGGAUAUAAAAUAGAAUAAUUCAGAAGGUCCAGUAUCCCUUUGUGAGGACCUUCCAACCCUAUAGCUAUAUACUAUUAGCUCCAAGUGGAAGAAGGAAAGCCAGGAAGGUUUUCACAACAGAGAAGGUUCACCUGCCUCUCUGCUUAUUUCUUUGCUCUCCAUGAGUUCAUAGUAGCAUAGAAGAAUAUUAUCAGAUUCCUAACCAUCUACCCUGGAGAAUGCAUCAAAGGACUCCUAGCAUGACAUCCCAAAUGCCAAAAUGCCAAAAUUUUCAAAGUAUCACUACUUCAUCUCUUGAACACUUUCAAAAUUCUCUCAAGUUUCAAUCAAGUUUUGUUUUUUUUGUUUGUUUGUUUGUUUUGUGUGUGUCUUUUUGCCAUUUCUUGGGCUGCUCCCGUGGCAUACAGAGGUUCCCAGGCUAGGGGUCUAAUUGGACCUGUAGCUGCCAGCCUACGCCAG